GACGUAGGCAGCGAGCGUUGUCCGGAAUUAUUGGGCGUAAAGAGCUCGUAGGCGGUUUGUCGCGUCUGCCGUGAAAGUCCGGGGCUCAACUCCGGAUCUGCGGUGGGUACGGGCAGACUAGAGUGAUGUAGGGGAGACUGGAAUUCCUGGUGUAGCGGUGAAAUGCGCAGAUAUCAGGAGGAACACCGAUGGCGAAGGCAGGUCUCUGGGCAUUAACUGACGCUGAGGAGCGAAAGCAUGGGGAGCGAACAGG
rnacentral:rRNA from 1 species